UUGUUACCCCCCCACCUUCAGAAGAAAAAUCACCUCACACAAAAACAGCCAAAUAAAGCCACACAGUCCGAGAAGGCCUAUCAAGCGAGAACUGAAGCAGUGCGUGAACUUUGCCUGGCCACUGAAAUUGCAAAAUCUCCAGCUCAUUCGCAGACACACAAUGGGGUCUGGCAAAACCAUUCACAGUCCUGGAUGUGAACUGGGGCCUACGACAGGGAAGGCACCAAGGACAAUGCCAGUGAGGCUGUGUCGAAAGCUGGGCUGUCUCUGAAAUGGUUCUCUCCGAGCAGGCUGAGGGAGAAGAGAACCUCUGUCCAAUUUUAUCUGGAGCCUUGUUUUUCCAAUCAGAGUCAUGGAACAGGGAUGAAAGAGAAGAAUAAAAACAAGCCAAGACCAUCUGAUUAGUUUACAUAGGAGAGACCAGACUCCCAGGAGGGGAAACGCUAUAUCUGUAAGAUAAAGGCUGAGUGGCCUACGGCAUGUCACCUACCCUCCCUAAAUUCGGUGCCCUCACCACCAGCUGGGGCAAGGAUGGCGCUAUCUGCCUGCGCCCUGGACGUCUAUGAGAAUCAAGUACGACUCCUGGUAGCCGGACCCAAGAGAAAACAGAAACCUUUGAAAGACAAACCCAAGGAGACAGAAGUUUCUACUGACUUUCCAGAAGAGGAUUUCAGAAUAGACGAGGCAGUCCCAUGUGGACCACAAGAAUGACUACUGUGCGUUAGGAGAGGCUGUUUUGAGACGUGCAGUGUGUGAUUACUGGAGGACACAAGCGAGGCAUGGAGUAGAAUACACAAACAGGCCAUGGUAAGCUCUCAGAUGAAUUGUCUUGGGCUCCCAGUUAAGCUACAAAUCAAGCUAUUUUUGAAAGAGAAGGACUUUGGCCCAACUCAACACUUUGGUUUCUUACUGUUUACAUCUAUGAGUCAAAAGUGCUUGCUCCCAAGACCCCCGACCAAACCAAAUGAAAAUAAAUUCAACGUAUGCCCACUGAGCCAGGCCUGGGAGUUCUGGAGAUCAACUCAGAAUCACGGUGUUUCUGUCACUCCCAAAACACUCCUACCUACUUCUACCUGUUCCUAAGUAUUGCCUUAGGAUACUGACAGUCUCUUCUCCUACUGACAGAUUUUGAAUGAUAUUAAAGCUAAUCCUCUCUGGCUUGGUUAGGUCUUGUGUAAGAUUCCCACACCCCACAAUCAAGGCCUUGCAAUGUGGUGUUGGAAGAGAUAGCCAAGCUACCACACCUAUAUCACGAUUCGGAUGAGGAUAGUAUUUUUUUUCGCCUUCCAUGAAACAGCUUUGAAAACCUGAGUCACAGAACCUGCCUCAUGCAAAUUCUUCCACUCUCCUCCUCCCUGCCAGUAUAUUGGCACCUUCUUGUUAAAAUGAGCAGAGAAGCAUGAACAAGACCUCGAUGGACCUCAGAAUAAAAUGCAAGAUCUUCAGAUUUCCAUUGCAUGAUUUCACCAGGCCAAGGCAGCCCAGCUUCAUUUUUACAUGCACUGUAGCUCUAAGUAUUUGCAGUGCUAUAACCUGUAAGUAUUUGUAUGCCCACCCAAACCCCCCAAUAUGGAUACUUUACUCACUUAGCUUCUGGUAAGAAGCAUAAACAAAAAGAAUCAAAGAGUAGAAGGCAAGAAACUGGGGACCAAUUUUCAGGUCAUCCUUUCCUUCUUGAAAGAAGGAAUUUGCCUGCAGUGUCUAUAAUUUAGAAGGUUUUAAUGAACGGCUUCUACAUUAUUUAUUACUCAUAGAAAGCUGUAAACAUCCCUCCCUAACCCAUUAUGAUAUUAUCUUGGCAGAAGUCAAAAGGUUCAAACAUUUGGCACUUUUCAUUGGACUGUUGUUGAAAACAGUCGUGCUCUGUGAAUGUAACUUCUCUCCUUCCUUGUUACAUGGGAUUGUGUGUGAGCCUGUGAGCCUGUGUCCGUAUCAUUCACUUGAGAUCGUCAAAAGGCAUCCUGGCUUUGUAAUUUGCUCUUUUGCAGUUUCACCUUAAUAAGAGAUUCCAAAAUUAGUAAAAUAAAAUAAUAAAGUAAAAUAAAGCCAAUUUAAAAAGGCAUCGACAGAAUAUACAAACUGGAUAUUCAAGCAGAAGUGUUUGAAAUGCCUCAGCCUCAUUUCAAAGAGCUUCCUGCUGUCAAGCCCAAACACCCAGACAGGUAGACUGCUGUGAAAUAUGUAGGCGAUGCCUGCUGCCUGAUUUUCAGAUGGCGAGGAGGCAUUUGAAAGCAUCAAAGUUCCCUGUAUAGAUGUGUGUACAUUAAUCUCAGCCUCUGUGAUCUCUGCACUCGCCUAUUGUAACUUGCUGUUUAAUAGAUUGCCAAACUUUGCCCUUCACAGACUGCACAUUUUUUUUUUCCCAAGGAUCUGCUCCUCUCCCAGGAGCUUCUUGCUGGGGCCGAGUUUUAAAAGUUUUCAUUCCUGGGCUUGUGCUAUGGCAUUGGGUCACUCUUUGAAUUCUGCACUUUUGAACACCUCACUUGUUGGCUUGCUUUUCCUCGCCCCUGGUGUCGAUGUCUGUAUGUGGCUAAAGUCAGUGCCCUCCAACCAUGAAGCAUCUGCCAAGAGCCAGCCCUGAUAUGAAUCAUUAACAACCACAGCACUAGCCCUGUAAGAGCCUGUAAUGUGGUGGGAGAGAAGACAGAUCAAAGGCUGUCAACUGGCAGCCCACAGGUUGUGUACGGCCCAUAGACAUGCACUGUUUUGCCUACACUGUGUUUUAAAUUCAGAUUAGUAACGAACACAGAAAGGAUGGGAAAUUUCACUUAGAAAUCUGUGGUGCUUCAAGCUCCUCUUGGAAAAUUGGAAGGUGUGAUUAUACAGGGCUUCCUGCCUGCAUGGGUCCCGUUUUAGUGGGGAUUUGUAUUUUUUUCUAAACUGAGUUGGUGGGACAGAUACCAUUAGGUACCUUAGCCUUGGCUUUCUUGAUAUCUUGAUGUUACCUGCUGGGACAUUGGCCUUUUGAGUCUGUGGUCCAUGAUAAAGACACACACAAAGGCAAAUAAUACUAAGUGGAAUAUUUGGGGGACACCAGCAGGUUCUCUAAACAUGCCAUCUCAUUUGAUCUUUCCAACACAUCUGCAAAUCUUGGAUUAUAAUAACCACUUUACACAGGAAAAAUUGGGGCUUUCUGUUUUUAAGUACCUUGCCCUAUUUCACACAGCUGAUGAUAGAGGAGCUGGGUGUUGGAACUAGAUCUAUCAGCUUUGAAGCAUUCUUCUUUCCAAUUGGAAAUGCAAGAAAGUCCCCAGGAAGGGUGCAGUUUGGGCUCCCAGAUCUUUUCCCGCCGUCACUCAGCUCUGCUCUAGUCUGGACACUUCUCACUGUACCCUAGAUAUUCUUGGCCAUUUGAUCACUUCUUGUGUCUGUGUAUUCUAUUCCCUGUCUUCACCUUCCCUUCUGGACCUGCAAGCCUCUUCUUUCUUUGCAAGACCAAGAUUCAUUGCUAGUUCCUUUAUGAAGGUUUUCAUGACCUCUGGGUCAGUUUUUCUAACACUGGGGCUCCUAGAGGCUCCAUUUUUACUCAAAUGUCUCGUGGUAAAAGGUCAACAUACUGGUUGCUUUUCACUGGACUGUGAGUUCCUAAAGGGCAGGGCCAAAUCUCAUUCAUCACUCCACACCACCACGCCCAGCACAGAUGCCUGACAUGCAGGAAGUACUCCACGCAGGGUGGCCUAUGGGUGGAGCUUUCCAGGCUGAAUCACAUACCUAUCAAGGUCUCCUUGGGGGGAAGUGAAAUUGAAUUGAAAGACAACAGUAAAUUCCAUUUGUGUUUCCAUUUGUUUUCUCAUCCCCCAUCAUGACACCCUUGUUUAUCCUCCAAACUUUCUGCUUAACAAGACUUUGCCACUCUCUGCUCUUUUGCCAGAUGGCAACGCACUCACUCCUUCCAAUACCCAGAUACAUCCAUCAAGCGACUUCGAAUUUGAAACACAUCAGAAACUUGCUGGGCAUGGAACGGGUAAUGAGGAAAUGGCAUAUGUGCACCGUGGGAUCAUGAUGGGGCUGCAAAGUUAAUCAAGAAAGAAACAACUCCACCAAGAGCCUGUUAACAUACCUGAAAGGGUGGGCAGGUUUGCCCAGGUGUGAGCUGUAGGCUGGCUGACUAUCUCUUUCUCAUGUGGGUUAUGGGAAACCAACAUGCCUCCAAAUCACUGGCUGGACCUCAACUGAACUUUCAGUUUUUAUUUUCCACUCCCAUACUAUUUUUGAAAGUGUUAAAUAAUUGCUUCUACAGCUAACCGCUAAAGGCCUCAUUUAACAAAAAUCAAUAUGGAGCAGUACAGACGUGGAAUAAACCAAACCAGAGGCCAAAGCUUAAAAUCCAUCUCACCACUGAAUCAUAAGUGGUAAAAUUAAGAGCAGGUGCACUGACAGACAGAGGUGAAGGCUGCCCUGAUAAAAUGGAUUUUUGUUAUGUCUAAUGAACUCAUCACAUGCAGACAAUGAGAAAGAACUGACCAGGUGGGAGGGAGGAGCUGACUUUGGCAAUGAUGUGUCUUCUCCACAAAAUGAUUAUUUCAAAAAGCAUGCAGAGUAGAGGCUGUAAUGCAUUUAGGGGAGUUUCAAUCGUCAUUAUUUCAUUUCUCAUCCUUGACAAAUCUUCACUGAAUGUGCACUGUGGUUAUUUUUAAAACAUUCACAGUGAACACAGCUUGUGAAACUUUGGUCAUCAUCCUAAUCAGCCAACUGAUGCCCUAUUCAAGAUUGGUGUAUGCCUGCGAUCAUAUUUUAGAACUAUUUUACCUGGCGUGAACAGAGAGUAAAGGAAGGCCAGCUCUUUCUUCUAAUAACAGGUUCUUAACUGUUAGUCCCAGGAAGUAAAGUACAAAGGCAAAUGAACUUCCAUAAUAAAUAUUUAAGAAAGAUACUCUGAGUUAGAAUGAAAGUAAAUGUGCAAACUGCUAUUUGAGAGAAAUGUCUCGAUAAGCCUCUUGCAAAUACGAUAUGAAGCAGAAAGUCUGUUAACUCUUUCUGUCUCGUCUUUAUUCACCAGGGUUAGGUGCUCUUACAGGGUGGGGGGAAUCUGGACUAGUAAUAUCUUGAUGAAGUUGCAAAAACAAAAAGAAAACCCAUUUGUUAGAGCACUGGAGCUGACAUCUGCACCUGUAAGCCAAGAUAAUUACAGAGCUGCUCUGCAAAUUUGGUUAGGGUUUAGGGGAUAAUCUUAGACUAAUAAAAUAAACCAUCCUCGAAUGUUCUGGUCACCAGGUAGCAAAAACCUGCUUAGGUCUCAGUGGAUUUCUUCUUUCUGGUCUCGUUGGGAGUCAGACAUUGAUGUUAUAAAUGCUUAUGCCACGAGUAUCCCUCUCUGAGGUCUGAUAUCCAUUUGGAAUCACCUCGGAAAACUCAACACGACCAGCAGUUUCUUGAAGCAGGCCACCCUCUCUGCUCCUGAAUGUUCUCUGACCAGGUUGGGCCUUCCUUCUCUUCUAAUAAUUAGCCACCCAUUGCCCCCCUCCAAUUUCUUCCAACCCUGUUUCCUACCCCUUGCAUUUUUCUUGCUUCUUUCAUUUUUCCUGUGUAUGCUGACUGCCUAGUUCCUCUUCUACUAAAUUAUGCUCUAUUAUUUCCACAGCCUGAAGAACUCACAGCUGAAGCAUUAUUUCUAACCUUAUUUUGUAUUCCUAGCAUGUGCUAUAACCUGUUUUGAGUUUUAUUUGCAGCCAAGAUGCUGACACAGCUCCAAUUUUGUUUUCAUAUUUUGAUUGGGUAGGAGUGUUCAUUACUGUGGGUACUAGGGUAGGGAGGAAAAGUCAUUUUAAAAAGGCACAAUUUACACCUUCCUUAAAGAGCUUUUUGUUUAUGAAUGCUGCCCAUUUAAAAUCUAAAAAUUACAAAUGUUCAAAAAAUAUAUUCCUUUUUUUUUUCUUGGAGAAAAAGGUUUUAAUGAAAAUUGUAGUAGUCCAGUGUGAUUUUCCUAUUCUGUUUUUUAUGUCAUGCCUAUUAUGUCUGAUUUCCUUUUGUGUUUCUUAACUGACCAGCAGACACAGGCAGGUGUGGAAAGCCUAUAAGUCAGGGGUGUGUAAGAAAUGAGGUUUUCAAAGCCCAGUUCAGCUCUACACUAACCAGCCUUCCCAGGGACAAAUGCCUCAUUUGUGUCAUUAUUGAAUGCAUGGUUCAUAUUAAGCUUAUAUCUCAUAACCAGGUAAUUCAUGAGUUUCAGCUACAGGGAACCCCUUAGCUGGGGCAUAAAAUUUCUAAUGAGCUUUCCCAUAAAGGAAAGCGUAGGAUGAGUGAGGUUUCAUGCUCCUUUAUGUUUGUUUGUUUUUUAGAGACCCAGUCUUGUUAUGUUGCCCAGGCUGGAGCUCAGCAGCUACACACAGGCCCAAUUAUAGUGCACUUUGGCCUCAAACUCUGGGGUGCAAGAGAUCCUCCUGUCUCAGCCUCCUGAGUAGAAGGGACUACAGGGGCCCAUCACCAUGCCUGGCUAGUUGUCACAGUUCUUGCUGUAUGAUUCUCAGGCUCGUUAUUGGAAGAGAUUUAAUUUCAUGGGACUCCUCUAACUCCAAAAUCUUCAAGAACUCUACAGUUAAGGUUGUCAGAUCAAAUACAAGAUACCCAGUUACAUUUGAAUCUCAGAUAAGCCCCAAAUAAUACUUUGGUGUAAGUAUGUCACAUGCAAUAUUUGGGACAUAAUUAUAUCAGAAAUUAUUCAUUGUUUAUCUGAAAUUCAAACCUCUCUGGGCAUCUUGUAUUCUUAUUUGCCAAAUCUGGCAACUAUAUCCACAGUGCAUACAGGAACAAGAUUUAACUCUUAAGGUAGGUACUUCUGAGUCCCACUUAGGCGGACUCUCUUUUCUUUCUGCCUUAUUUUCUGCCAUAUCCAACUCCCCCUAUCCUCCCAUCCUCCAUUCCACUGAGUUUUGAGUUACUUUCCCAGCUGGAAUGCCUCCUUUCCUUCUUGCCCUGGAUUACUCAAGACUGACUCCUCAGGGAAGCCUUCCCUGAACACACAGCCAAAAGUAAUCUCUUGGUUCUUUUAGACCAGGGAGCUCGUUCUGGGUGGACCAUUCAUUGGUACAUUUCACACACUUGCCUGGGAGCUUCAGCUAACAUUUCAUCGGUACACUGCAUACUGCAUUCUUUCCAAGAAGGCACAAGCUCUUGGGUAGCAGUGACCUUGCCUUACACUUCUCUGUGUGCUUUGCAGUGUCCAGCACUAGGCCCUUCAUAUAGUUGGUGCUCAUGAGAUACUUACUGAUAAAAAGACCACUAUUGAUUGUCACUGAGCUGCUCUCUUUUGCAGCUUCACGUCUCUCACACUUAUUUCCCUGCAUUGAGGGAGGGCUCAACCCCAUCUCCACAAUGUGAGCAUGAACUCCAUCACAUACCUCAUUAAAAACCUGGUAGCCAGGUUCAUUUCUUAUGGACAAGUGAAGAAUAAGUAAUGCAAACUCAGUCUUACGUGGGCAAGCCACUUGUUCUCUCUGCAGAUUAGUUGUCUCAUCUGGGAGAAAGGCCUGGUUCCUCCCCUACCUCUAAGGGUCAUGAGGAUACAUGAGAUCUUGGGAAAACAUAGAUAGGAUGGUGCUGGAGUACAUUUAAUGGUGAGGCCAAGAACAUGGAAUAAACAUUUCUAAGUAUAUUGUUUAAACCGGAUGCUUGAGUUUCUAAUGAGAAUUUCAGGGCAUAUGCCAGCAUCAAAUUUUCAAAUUAUGGCUGACAAGGUGGGAUUUUUAAAAAUAACACAAUUGGAGACAAAAGCAGCUGGCAAGCAGAUGGCAGGAUUCUCUUGCUAACCUAGGGUACUAUGUCUUGGCCACUGGAAAUUUAUACUUACAAGCUAUCUCAUAUGAUUGUCUGGAUUUUAGAAUUAUGCCAAAAAACAAAUUUCUGGGAAAAAACAAUAGAGUAUUAAUGUCAGCUUUGAGUUUCUUUAAAAACUGUUUUAAAUGUUUUUCUUUAAAAAAAAAAAACUGUUUUGCUUUUCCUCAUAUGGGUCCCCACACUUACCUUGUAUGAGUCAUCAUCUCAUGCACCAGGGCUUUUAAAAUAUGAUAAGUAAAGCAAGACAUCUACUGUAUAUCUUGUUAGGAGCUUGCUUUUCCUUUUGGCUCUUGUGGCGCUACAGGAAAGAUGGUGAGGCGUUCAUGCACCCGUGUGCCACAAUGGCAAGGUGAGCCACACGUAGGGGCCAUACUAGCCACAAUUGCCUAGAAAACAUCAUUUCACUGCUGGAUCUACAGGCAACCCAUGUACUGUGAUUCCUCCUCCUCACACCCACAUUCCAGGCUCAAUUAGUGGAAUCCCAGUCUUACAUCCAUACCACAGCAGCACAUUAAAAUGUCUCCGAUUAAGCCCUGGAUUAGCAUGUGCCCAGGCUUUAUCUUAAUUGCCGAUUAAGAUUAAUCCCGCUAGGGAGUUUUCCAGGGCUGCUUUAUUACCAUGGGGUGAAUCAUUACACAUUUUGAGUUGCAAGUUCCAUUUAGCUUCCUUUGACUAAAAUGGGAGACCCAGACUCUCUUGGCUUCUAAGGACGGGGCUCUUUACUGCUUUCUGAAAACCUCCCUUGACAGCUCAUUUGCACCUGAAGGUUGGGGGGAUGAAGCCUUGAUCCCUCUUGACAAGUCUAUGAAAACUGGAACACAGGGAGUCACAGGCUUUCUGGCAGGCUCUUGGCUUUAAAUAUCUACAGUGAACUUUGGCUUGAAGAAUGAUCUUUAUAUACUUGGUGCUGGCUUUAUCAUUCAUAGUGAUUUACUUAAAACCCUUUUUUCUCUCUCUCUUUCUCUGGCUCUAUAUGAAGGUACAUAAUUUGUUUUCUGGACCAUUUGAGGAUAUGGUAUAUACGUGGUCCUUUAGCUCUGCAUACUUCAGUGUGUGUUUCCUGAGAAUGGGAAUAAUCUCUUACAUAACCACAGCUCAGUUUUGAACUUCAAAAAUUUACAUUGGUACUUUUACCAAUACUGAUUUUACUAAUAAUUUUACCAAUACUGAUUUACUCCGAAAUCUACUUCACUAAGUGAUACCCCAAUACCUAUUAAGUCUGGUUACAGAAAAGGGGUUGGAAUUGAGAGCAAGAGAAUUCUGCAUGUUAGAGGUAAAGAAAUGAGACCUAGAAAAGAGAAGUCACUUAGUGAAGGUCACACAGUGGCAGAAGAGUCCAGAUAAACUCAGGAACUCAGGGGCAACUUCUAGCCAUUGAAUGGAGAAGCUCAUAAAGACUCAAGAAAGGUCAGGUCAGUAACGACUUUGGAAACAUCCAGUGCUACCUGGUCAAUCAGACUUGACACUACCCUACCUAGACAUGGAAAUUUUCCAACUGCAAAGGCCAAGAGCUCUGUUUUUGAAAGGGUAUGCUUCACAUUUAUGUGAUGCAUAAGAAAGACUUGAUGAUAGUUGUGCCUGCUUCACUGAAACAGGGAUUCUCCCAGCUUUAAGAUACUAAUUGGUCAUGGAAUUCGGUUUGGCCCUCUGGGGAGGCAUAAGUCAGAAGCAUUCAGCAGCAAUGUGGAGAUCACUAACGUGGCACAGCUGUGAGACCUUUUGAUACUAGCACGUGCCUUUGGCCUGACUCAGACUGGAGAACCUGGUAGACACCCAUGGCCAUGGCUCCUGGGGAUUCCUAAUAGAGCAGUUCCCUGCUUUCUACCCCAGGGAACCUGAUCAUGUUACUGCUCUGAACGGAUCGGCUUUGGUCAGAGAUCUGGGUCAGCUGAGUCUGUGUAGCACUUUUCAAUGUCAAGACCAGUCAUGAUACUCAUCAUCAAAUGUAUUGCCCCAUUCUGUGAUGUCUCCAUUUGAGAAUCUGUCCUAAUCGAAGAGCCAACACUGGUAACAGUUUUAUCCUGUUUUAUCCUGACAGGCCAUCAACAGACUUCAGAAGAAUCACAGAGCUCCAGUCUCCUUCCCAGAUCCCCCACCAGGCAUCCCUUCCUAAGAAUUCAUUCUCACAUGGCUGUGGGUAUUCCCGCUUCUGCUAGUAGAGUGCAUGCCAAGAAAAGAGAAAGCCCCUCUCUGGUUUCCCAACCCUGCUUACUGCCCUGGGCGGCUGGCUACCAGUCUUAGAAGUAUUUGGGAGUCCUAAUGGAUGCACCCAUAACUAGGUAACACAAAUACCCCAAAGUCUUUAUCUUCCUUUACACUAAAGCCCUGAGAUGUACCACACUGGUCACUGGUAUUUCUGAACGGACAGAAGUCGUUUGCAGGUCUCUUUCUAAAGGUUGUAGUCUGCCACUCUCAUGGUAAUUUCACCCUAAAGCAGAGCAUAAGAAUUGAGGAUGAAAGCUUUUUCUUUUGUUGAACCCACAGUAUAACCAUGUUCCUUAGAUUCUAUUACAAAACAACCAUUGGCUUUAACUGGAAACUUGAAAAUUUAGGGUAAUUAUAGUAUCAAUUCAUGAUUACUCAACACAUUUCCUCAACUUCCUUUGUGACUGAUAUUUUGAAUAUGUUACUGUAACAUUCGUUGAAGAAAGUGUGCUGUCCUGAAACAAGUGAGGCCUAAGACACCCCACACGUCUAAGAUUUCUCACCUAUGAAUCAUGCGGCUGCCAAAAUCUCUUUCACCUUCUUUCUUCUUUCAAUCCUUCUCUCUUAAGUUCCCUAAACUGUGUCAGGCUUCCUGAAUUUGCCUUCAGCACUAGCAGUAACACGACUCUAAAUGGAUGAGUUUUCCAUGUUAUUCUGGUCCAAGCUGCAAAUGAUUAGAUUCCCUACCGAGCCCUGAUGGCAGUAUGACUGGGCUUUAACUUGAUGGGACUGACUUCGUUAAUAGAAUUCUCUCUUCAGUUGUUUGACUAUGUUAAUGUUGCUAGAAGGGGGAAAAAAAACCACCCUGAUUUUCCUAUAUGUAAGCUGUUUUCAAACUUGUGUGGGGGUUCUCCCAAACAGAUCUGCAGUUUUCUUCCUAUGGAGAUACUACAAUUACACGUUCCUUUUUCUCUUUAUUAAAACUCGUAUCUUGCUAGGCACUCUGCCAGGAGUACUGAAAUUUAGUCCUGAUAAAAAUCCUUCUUGGAUAUUUCUGGUCUAAGCUUUAA